UGUUGGAUUAAUAACCUAAUUAAAGCAAAAUUUAAAAAAGGAAGUCUGUUCGACUUUUAAAAAAUUACAUGAUUUGAGUUCAGACCGGUGUAAGCCAGGUCGGUUUCUAUCUUUUAUAAAAUUUAUAACAGUACGAAAGGACCUUAUAAAAUAUUAUU
rnacentral:rRNA from 1 species